CAAGAUUCUCAUCUAGACAGAGAAGCAGAGACCAUGGAGCAUGGAACCCUCUUGGUAUGACAUUCUCUAGGCUGUCACACCGUGCAACAAAGGAACACCUCCUGAAACACCUCCGAUGAGAAUCAAGACUGUUGUGUGCUAUACAUUGCAGUGACUGCUGUACAUAUAGUUUCUGGCUCUUAGAGAAACGUAAUGGAUUCAUUAUGGAAAAACAAAGACUUUCAAUAUUUUCUGGUCAUCACUCUUCAGCCUGUAAGUAUGCUGUUAGUAUAUCUUUAGAUUGUACCGUGUUAGAAUGUUUGUUGUAAGUAUUGCUAUCCCAGGGCUGCGACUGUAGCUCAGCUUGCAGAGUGCCUGCCUUGCAUUUACAAAGUCCUGAG
rnacentral:lncRNA from 1 species